GACGAACGCUGGCGGCGUGCUUAACACAUGCAAGUCGAACGGAAAGGCACUGCUUUUGUGGGGUGCUCGAGUGGCGAACGGGGGAGUAACACGUGAGUAACCUGCCCUUGACUUUGGGAUAACUUCAGGAAACUGGGGCUAAUACCGGAUAGGAGCUCCUGCUGCAUGGUGGGCGUUGGAAAGUUUCGGCGGGUGGGGAUGGACUCGCGGCUUAUCAGCUUGUUGGUGGGGUAGUGGCUUACCAAGGCUUUGACGGGUAGCCGGCCUGAGAGGGUGACCGGCCACAUUGGGACUGCGAUACGGCGCAGACUCCUACGGGAGGCAGCGGUGGGGAAUAUUGCACAGUGAGCGGAAGCGUGAUGCGGCAACGCCGCGUGCGGGAUGACGGCCUUCGGGUUGUGAACCGCUUUCGCCUGUGACGAAGCGUGAGUGACGGUAAUGGAUAAAGAAGCACCGGCUAACUACGUG
rnacentral:rRNA from 1 species